rnacentral:rRNA from 1 species
GACGAAUGCUGGCUGCGUGCUUAACACAUGCAAGCCGAACGGUGAAAGGGAGCUUGCUCCCUGGAUCAGUGGCGAACGGGUGAGUAACACGUGGGCAACCUGCCCCUCACUCUGGGAUAACUCCGGGAAACCGGGGCUAAUACCGGAUACGACCUGGUGCGACAUCGCACCGGGUGGACAGAACUUCGGUGAGGGAUGGGCCCGCGGCCUAGCAGCUUGUUGGUGGGGUAACGGCCCACCAAGGCGACGACGGGUAGCCGGCCUGAGAGGGCGACCGGCCACACUGGGACUGAGACACGGCCCAGACUCCUACGGGAGGCAGCAGUGGGGAAUAUUGCGCAAUGGGCGAAAGCCUGACGCAGCGACGCAGCGUGAGGGACGAAGGCCUUCGGGUUGUAAACCUCUUUCAGCGGGGACGAAGCGAAAGUGACGGUACCCGCAGAAGAAGCACCGGCUAACUACGUGCCAGCAGCCGCGGUAACAC